rnacentral:rRNA from 1 species
GUAGAGGCGAUUGAACAGGGAAAAGCACAAGUUGAAAAUCAGGCCUUACGGUCCGAAUUGUAGUCUCAAGAUCUGGCACCAGUAGCUCUGCAGGAAUAAUUUUCCUGGAACGGAAGACCAUAGAGGGUGAGAGUCCCGUCUUUGUUCUGCAAGAGUUGCAUACGGUACAGACUCAAAGAGUCGCGUUCCUUGGGAAUGGAGCGCUAAGUGGGUGGUAAAUUUCAUCUAAUGCUAAAUAUUGGUGGGAGACCGAUAGCGAACAAGUACCGUGAGGGAAAGAUGAAAAGAACUUUGAAAAGAGGGUUAAAAGUGCCUGAAAUUGCUGGUAUGGAAGCGAAUUGUAUUGUCCUUGCUAGGUCGGAUGGUAUGGGAGAAAGUUGAAACUUGGUGUUCACCGCAAGGGAAUUGCCGAAUGUAUGCUCAGUCUGUAUCUGUCACCAGCUUAGCUUAGUCUGCGUCAGUUGCGAUUGUGCCAAAACCUUAGAACGAGAGGACUUGUCUGAUUGUUCUUGUGGCUGACACGAUUGUUGCUGAAGUCAUGUA